rnacentral:rRNA from 1 species
CGUAAAGAGCUCGUAGGUGGUUUGUCGCGUUGUUCGUGAAAUCUCACGGCUUAACUGUGAGCGUGCGGGCGAUACGGGCAGACUUGAGUACUGCAGGGGAGACUGGAAUUCCUGGUGUAGCGGUGGAAUGCGCAGAUAUCAGGAGGAACACCGGUGGCGAAGGCGGGUCUCUGGGCAGUAACUGACGCUGAGGAGCGAAAGCGUGGGGAGCGAACAGGACUAGAUACCCUGGUAGUCCACGCCGUAAACGGUGGGUACUAGGUGUGGGUUUCCUUCCUUGGGAUCCGUGCCGUAGCUAACGCAUUAAGUACCCCGCCUGGGGAGUACGGCCGCAAGGCUAAAACUCAAAGAAAUUGACGGGGGCCCGCACAAGCGGCGGAGCAUGUGGAUUAAUUCGAUGCAACGCGAAGAACCUUACCUGGGUUUGACAUGCACAGGACGCCGGCAGAGAUGUCGGUUCCCUUGUGGCCUGUGUGCAGGUGGUGCAUGGCUGUCGUCAGCUCGUGUCGUGAGAUGUUGGGUUAAGUCCCGCAACGAGCGCAACCCUUGUCUCAUGUUGCCAGCGGGUAAUGCCGGGGACUCGUGAGAGACUGCCGGGGUCAACUCGGAGGAAGGUGGGGAUGACGUCAAGUCAUCAUGCCCCUUAUGUCCAGGGCUUCACACAUGCUACAAUGGCCGGUACAAAGGGCUGCGAUGCCGCGAGGUUAAGCGAAUCCUUUUAAAGCCGGUCUCAGUUCGGAUCGGGGUCUGCAACUCGACCCCGUGAAGUCGGAGUCGCUAGUAAUCG